UUUAACGAGUUUAUUCACUUUACGGUGAGGAGCAACAUCUCACGAUCUAUCAAUAAUCCACCUAUAUCUAGUAGAAAUAAUGAUCCUCAUGUAUAAUGAACUCACAUGAUAAGCUUAUGGCAAUGGACAUGAACAGGAUUAGCAGUGUCCCACAGAGAUAUGAAGCAUUGAUCACUUCCUGGUGGUGGCGGAGAUGUGGUGGUCCCAGUGGUUGGGGCCGGCAGUUACGGGGAUCUAGCUGGACUGGAGUUCGGGGCGGCGGAAGUUUCACUGAAGGUGAUAGCUAAGUUUUGGCCUUGAGUGCAACAGUCACUGUUAGCAAAGGUGUAAUACUCGCGGGCUUUGUUGAGGGAAAAGUUGGCUGGUCCGUUGGUUAGUGUAUGAAUAUAGAAGCACUGUUGUAGUUAUUGUUAUCACCAUUUGACACGUUCACGACGUCGUGUAACCCUGCGUUGAAGUCGAACGCUGCAAAAAUAGUGGAAGAUCAUUGGCAUUAAAGAGUGGAGCUGAAGAUCGAUUUUUCGGCCACUGAAGCUCAAGAUCGAUUACACAUAAGAUGCCUGCAGAGGUUCCCUUAACAUCGCAAGCAUCUCUGGUAGACAAUCUUCUGGGGGAUCAUUUGGUUUUGGAGCAAGUUGAUGAUGAGGAAGCUGAGAUGGUUUUGAUGGGAAGGAUCUUGUCGGAGAAGUGCUUGACUCGAACUGCACAGCUAAUGUUUGAAGGAAA